CGAAGAGUCGGUCCUAGUUUUAAUCUUUCUGAAACGGGCAACCAGUAUUUUGCGAAUUUUGAACGUCCACUCUCCAUUAGCGUGAUAAUCAUAACGAUUAAGUCUCAAUUGAAAUAAUUUAUGCAACAAAAAUACAAAUGACAAACCUUGAGGAGCGAUGUAUCGAUUAAUUAUAUGUACCUGAUCCCGGGAUUCCCAUAUUAACGUAAUCAGCAUUUAUAUAAUCACCGUCUUGACCGUUCUUUAAUACCAAACGUGUAGCAUCAUCUACGAUAAAAAGUUGAUUUAAAUUAAACUCGAAACAUUCAAUAAAUUUUUAAUCUAAACUUACAAGCAGAAAUAUUGCGAUAUCUAUUUUUACCUAUUCAUAUUUUUACAUUUUUCCGACUCAUCACAACUCAUUUCGGGCUUUUUAAUUGAUACAAUUGUUCGAACUACACCAGCAAAGAUCUACUCGCCCAGCCAUUGACCAGUAAAAGCACUGACUGCUCCAGCGUUCCAGCUUCUCUUUGCAUCUCAGAUAAAGGUGACUCAAGUACAUAUUGAUAUGGAGUCUCUUCUUGACCAUCGGGCUCGCACAUAACUAAUCGACAUACAUACAAAGAUAAUGAUGGUUAUUUGUUAGCACAACUAUACUUACAAUAAGUGAUAAAAUUUUACAUCUCAAAGAACAAUAACGAAAACCCAGUCCGUUGGGCAAAGAAAACGCAAAUCGUGGAUACAUGGAUUUGAAUACGUAAUUCGUGAUCAAUAGCAGACACAAUACUAAGUUUAAGCUUUACUUUAAUAAUCUAAACAUACGAACAUUAGUAUUAAUACGGAAGAAUUGAUGUAAUUCGAAAUAUGU